rnacentral:hammerhead_ribozyme from 1 species
AUUCAGCUGACGAGUGUUGAAUAAAACGAAACACGCGUCCUGAAU